AGAACGUAGCGAAAUGCGAUACUUGGUGUGAAUUGCAGAAUCCCGUGAACCAUCGAGUUUUUGAACGCAAGUUGCGCCCAAAGCCAUUAGGCUAAGGGCACGUCUGCCUGGGCGUCACGCAUCAUGUCGCCCCCAACCCCAACGCCUGGCUACUAGCCGGACGUUGCGGGAGCUGGGG
rnacentral:rRNA from 1 species